ACACAUUCGUCUCAGGUAGAUCUCGCUGCAGACACGAGGUACAAACUAGCUAAGAUGUAAAGGUCCAUUUAUAAGUAAAACCGGAGCAGUCUUUUCCCAUGUAGGCGGCAAAUUAAUGCAGUUCUCAGGAGCAAAAGCUAGUAUGAAUUUAACAGAGCGACGCACUCCCACAACCCAAUAUCCAUCACCUAUUACACGCAAUAGUCCCGCACUUACAGUAAAUAUGUUUCUGACAUGAGUAGCACCUGAACUACUAUUGUUCCAUUGCAGAACUGAGGAGGCAGAGAAAGGAGGAGCGGUUUGAGGAUAGAACGGUGUGAGGGGGAAAAAAAAACUGCAAAGUGUCUGAGGCAGGACCGUGUGCGUUAAAACUCUAUUUGGUGACAUUGUGAACUCGGGUUUCCAGGACGGUUGAAUGCCGUUAUCACCAUGUAGUAAAUACGAGUUGGACAGCAUACACUUACCGAAAUGAAAUGCAAGAAAAGUCCCCUGGUUGUCAUUUUGUGUAAAACUGUAAGCGGUCGUUGUGUGACUGUGCAGGGGGUUUCUCCUAUUUCCACAUGCAACCCUCAACAGAUAUAAACCCACCCGAACCAAAGUAUCCACAGUAAAUAAUCCUAUUGCACCAGAACUUACGUACAUUAGUGAUUACUAUUACAAAAAGACAACGUUUGCUGUAGCAAAGAAAACAUUUGAAAGAAAAGAAGGCAGCUGUAUUCUGGGAAUUCAUCAAUCUUUAUAUUAACAAAUUCCAACUAUGUGUCACGCCCGGUCCCACCUGUAAUGAACGCCCUCACUCACAUAUUGCUCUGUGGCUUUUAGACUCUGCAAUCACAAACAAAACAUGUCAUAUCCCCCCCCAAAAAAACUCUAGGCCUUUGUACAACCGGUCAAACAACAAAGUAUAGUCAGUUCCAUGUCAGCCUCCAACCCGUAUCCAGCACAAUGACUGAUAUGCUCCACGCAGCCAUUGGGGGGUGAACACAAAAGGCAGGUGGAGGGCGAUGGGGGGACAAGGGGAGGGGCAUCCAUGUUCUAGUCCUUUCUAUUGUACUCAGUCGGUCCUUCAAGUGGGCAGGCGGCAGCGGGGAAUGGAGGGGGUGGGGGGGUUAGGCUUUCAAGGUGGAAGGAGGUCAGAGACACCCCCUUUAAGACCAGUGUUGAGACUGAAAAAAAAUAAGUUAGCAGGAAACUUGUGGAGCCAUCCAGGGAGACCACGCCGGAGUGGACAAAGAGUCAUUAGUGGCGUCGCUCUCAGGGCGACACGUGGAAACCAAAAGGAGGGACCGGACCCGCUCAGAUAGCCACAAAAGGCAACGGUCCAAAUCCUCCUUUCCAUGAAGGGCCACGGUUCAGUCGGGUCUGGUGAUUCCCUUGAGAGGUUUUGCUGCAAUCCUCCUCUUUUUGAAAAAGUUUAUAUUUCAUCAUUGCGUUGUUUUAACUUUCUAUCAGUAAGUCCAUGCUGCCACUACGCGCAGUAGCAUUUCUCCUCAACAUGCAACAGUCCGCUGUGGACAGAGGGGAGACAAAAAAGGGACGCGGA
ensembl:lncRNA